rnacentral:rRNA from 1 species
CCCGUCACAUCACGAAAGUGGAUUGUACUAGAAGUCUGUGCGCUAACCCGCAAGGGAGGCAGCGGCCCAAGGUAUGAUUCAUGAUUGGGGUG